UUGAUGUAUCCCGGGUUCAACUUUAAGCUCAAGUAAAUUAGGUAUUAUUAGUUAACGCUUUAUAUGUUACUUUAUCUCUUUCAAAUAUUGUUGAUUUGAAUUUUUGAGUAAUAAGUAGUGACUGUUUUGUAUUUGUAUUGUUUUGCGAGGACUAAUGCUAUUGACUUUGGUGUUUAACGUGAUCAAGCUCAAGUUACUUAGGUAUUAUUAGUUAAUGCCUUAUGUUGUAAUUUGUCUUUUUUAAAUUAUACUGAUUUAAAUUUUAAGUAAUGAGUAGUGACUAUUUUGCAUUUGUUUUUUUUUGCGAGGACUUAUGCUAUUGACUAAAGGACUCGAUUGGAUGUACCUCGUUAAUUGCGAUGCCUAUGCCUAGGUACUUUCAAAUAUAUAUUUUCACACUUUUAAAUAUUGACUUACGGAACAUUUUGCUUAAAUGUUAGAUGUAUUUUGGACCGUAAUUAACUUGGUUUGAAUUCCCCGGGUUCAACUUUAAGCUCAAGUACAUUAGGUAUUAUUAGUUACGCCUUAUGUGUUACUUUAUCUGUUUUAAAUAUUUUGAUUAUAUUUUUUGAGUAAUAAGUAAGUUACUGUUUUGUAUUUGUAUUGUUUUUGCGAGACUAAUUCUAUUGUCCUUUGGUGUUUAAUAUGAAUCAUGCUCAAGUUAAUUAGGUCUUAUUUGUUAAUGUUCCUUAUGUUUGUAUUCUCUCUUGAAAUUGACUUAUUUAAUUUUAAGUAAUGAGUGAGUGCUAUUUUGCAUUUGUUUUGUUUUGCGAGAAUUUAUGCUAUUACUAAAUGACUCGAUUGGAUGUACCUCUUAAUGCAUGCCUAUGCCUAGGUACUUUCAAAUACAUUUUUCUACAGCCUUUACUUAUUGAGGUACGUGACCAUUUGGCUUUAAAUGUUGUUUGAUCUUGGACUGUAAUUAACUUGAGUUUGAUUAUCCCGGUUUCAACUUAAGCUCAAGUAAUAGGUAUUAUUAGUUAACGCCUUUAUGUGUUACUUUAUCUCUUUCAAAUAUUGUUUGAUUUGAUUUUUGAGUAAUAAGUAGUGACUUUUUGUCUUUGUAUGUUUGGGGGCUAGGACUAUUGCUAUGACUUUGGUGUUUAAAUUAUCAGCUCAAGUUACUUAGUAUUCUUAGUUAAUGCCUUCUGUUGGUAAUUUGUCUUUUUUAAAUUAUACUGAUUUAAAUUUUAAUUAUGAGUAGUGACUAUUUUGCAUUUGUUUUGUUUUGCGAGGACUUAUGCUAUUGACUAAGGACUGCGAUUGGAAUGUACCCGUAAGUUGCGAUCCAUGCCUAGGUACUUUCAAAUAAUAUUUCCACAUUUUUAAAUAUUGAGGUAACUAACAUUUGCUUUAAUGUUUGUAUCUGUAUCUUGGACCGUAACUAACUUGAGUUUGAACUUCCCUGGGUUCCACUUUAACUCAAGUAAAUUAGGUAUUAUUAGUUAACGCUUUUGUGUUACUUUAUCUCUUUCAUAAUGUUGAUUUGAUUUUUGAGUAAUAAGUAGUGACUGUUUUGUAGUUUUAUAUUGUUUUUGCGUGAGGACGGGAAUAUAUUGACUUGGUGUUUAACAUGAUCAAGCUCAAGUUACUUAGGUAUUUAUUAGUUAAUGCCUUAUGUUUAAUUUGUCUGUUUGAAAUUAUACUGAUUUAAAUUUUAAGUAAUGAUAUGACUAUUUUGCAAUUUGUUUUGUUUUGUGAGGACUUCUGGUAUUGACCAAGGACUCGUUGGUGUACCUCGUUAAUUGCGAUGCCUAUGCCAAGUACUUUCAAUACAUAUUCGACACCUUUAAAUAUUGAGGUACCGUAACAUUUGCGUUAAAUGUUUUGUAUGUUUAAUCUUAGCCCGUAAAUUACUUGAGUUUGAAGUUCCUCGGGUUCACUUUAAAGCUCAAUGUAAAAUAGGUAUUGUUAGUUACCGCCUUUGUUGUAC
rnacentral:lncRNA from 1 species